rnacentral:rRNA from 1 species
CCUCGGUUGUAAACCGCUUCAGGGAGACGAAGCUUCCAAGGUUAAUAGCUUUGUGGAGUGACGGUAUCUUCAGAAGAAGUCCCGGCUAACUACGUGC